rnacentral:misc_RNA from 1 species
GAUGAAGAACGUAGCGAAAUGCGAUAACUAAUGUGAAUUGCAGAAUUCCGUGAAUCAUCGAGUCUUUGAACGCACAUUGCGCCCCCUGGUAUUCCGGGGGGCAUGCCUGUCCGAGCGUCAUUGCUGCCCAUCAAGCACGGCUUGUGUGUUGGGUCCUCCUCCCCCCCGGGGGACGUGCCCGAAAGGCAGCGGCGGCACCGCGUCCGGUCCUCGAGCGUAUGGGGCUUUGUCACCCGCUCUGCAGGCCCGGCCGGCGCUGGCCGACGCGAAAGCAACCAUUUUUUCUCCAGGUUGACCUCGGAUCAGGUAGGGAUACCCGCUGAACUUAAGCAUAUCAAUAAGCGGAGGA